ensembl:lncRNA
AGCAACUUUCAAUAAUGGCAGAUUCAGACUAAAAUCUGUGGCCAAUGACAGAGCAGCAUAAUAAUUUAGUUUGAGGCUUCAGGCUAGUAUUGAGGGGUUGAGAUGACCUAAAUAGUUUAUUGUCUCAGAUCAAAGUUGACUCCAAAGUAGGCUCUGCUGUCAUGACAACCAUAAAAGGAACUAUAUGGUAAGACCUUUGAACCCUAGCUCAUUGUUGUAGUAUUGGCUUUACAGAAUUGUCUGCCAGUGCAGUAAUAUAAUGUAUCUUGGUAUUUUAACUUAUUUCAAUGCAAGAUUAAAAACCUAGAUAACAUUGUAAUUCUUGGGGCCUUCCAAGUGGCACUGCAUCGCAGCGUUGCGGUGUCAUUGCGGCCUGGGGUUCAAUCCCAUGACCGGGAGUCCCAUGGGGCGUUGCAAAAUUGAUCGGUUGGGAUUUACUCGGCUCAUUGCGCUCUAGCGACUCCUUGUGGCAGGAGAAGCUGUAGGCUGAUAUCGGUUGUCAGUUGAACAGUGUUUCCUCCGACACAUUGAUGCAGCUGGCUUCUGGGAUAAGUGAGUGGGUGUUAAGAAGCGUGGCUUGGCUAGUCAUGUUUCGGAGGACUCAACCUUCUCCUCUCCUGAGCCCGUUGGGGAGUUGCAGAAAUGAGACAAGAUGGUAAUCAUGAAAUUGGGGAGGAAAAAUAGGUUAAAAAAUAUUUUAAGUCUUUGCAGUGUGCCCUUAGCCAUGUUCUAGACUUUUCAAGAGUUUUUAUCUACAGAGUUCAAGAGAUAUUAGUGGUCAGGUCACAUGGACAGGCAAAACCUACUAGCCUUACCAAUGAUGGUCACGUGGUCAGGUAAAACAUCCCUAGCAAUGAUGUAGCAUUGUUCAGUUCUAGAGGUUUUAUUUAGAGAGUUCAGGUCACUUGGUUAAGAAAAGCUGUCUCUCACAACAAUGUAAUGUAACGUUGAAUGCAGAAAAAUGCACUACAGUCUCUGAUUUGUUAUGAAAAAAAAGCUCUGGAAUGUAUUGAGUCAGGCUUUACCAGCUGACCCUGGAAAUCAGCUGAUUAGGUCAUAGUAUGUGAACCUACACCUUCAGAAUACGUCAUAUUCCAUCCCAAAUCUACAGACUAAAGGGGCUUUCUAGCUUAUACAAUGGAUACUACUGUACCAACAGCAUUGUUCUAGUAAUUUACAGUCAUGAACCUACUGUACAGUAGGAUGUUAGAAAUAUGCAUGCUUACACAGCUCAUUUUACAGUGUUGGUAGAAUCAUUAGUCAGAUAAUUUGUACUUCCUCAAGAAUGGCUGGGGUUGUAGAGGGUAGAGUAAUCUGAUCCUAGAUCUGUGGUUACGGCCAAAUUCUACCUUGCAGCUUAAAUAUGCAGUAUUUAGCUCUGCCUUUAUCUUACUUUGAGACCUUUCUGCUUCCUUUCUGUGUCUAUGAGAGACACAGACUGUAUUUCUUGUCCAAAGUCACUCUGCUGAUGGCCUUUCGAUUUAGUAAAUUAUUGACACAAAUUAUUGACAUGGGGAGAUUACUUCACAGCCCAAAAACAGAACUUUACACAGGCUUCUGAAUGAGGUAGAGUACAAUAAUCUUUGGCUCCUGAGGAAUUUAACUGACCAUCACCAGACAAUUAGCUAGAGGAGUGGCAAUGUGGCACGAUAGCAUUUGAUUAUGCAACACUCUGCAACUGUUGAUCGAGCAAACUGUCUGAUUUACAGGGUGGAGUUCCUUUUUGUCAGAUUGACGGCUGGAUAUGAAAGUUUACUUUACCUAAACAUAAAAUCAAGCUGAAUAGGAAUGCUGCACAAAUAUGUGAUCAACAUUUAUCUAUUCAUUAGAAAUGUUCAUGACAGUAUUAAAACCCCUUGAAAUGCACCAUCUCAUAUUCAAGGAUUUAAAAAUGAUUUUUUAUGAAAUUUCAGCUUGCCCUUGGUAGGCGUAAAGAAACAACAUUUGUUUGUUUUACCUUCACAAGGACAAGUAACUGUAACUGUCACUUUUCCUCGGUAAAGCAGAAAAAAAGAGCUCUCUGUUUGAAUUUCGGAUGUGUCUGUGACACAACAGUUGCACUGUAUUGCAUUGCUUUCAUCCCUUACUGUACUGCUCAAACUAUCCGUCCUCUGCGCAGCCAUGUUUGAACUGUGAAGAGAUUGCGAAACGGAACGAGGAGCGAUAAUGGUGAACGGCCAAUAAAGUCCUCUCCCCUCCAUGGUUACGGCCCUGGCUGUAAAUGGCGACGGGGCAACACAGCUCAAAGGCUAUAUUUGUGCUCCCUGGCUGGAGAGAGAAAUGCCAGCCCAACCGUUUGCCCAUCCACUUGUUCUUUCACUCGACAACAGUGGCUAUAGUGUCUCAUAAGCGUGACACAAUCCCUCUCUCAAUAUUUGUGUGUGUGUGUGAUGCCUCCAAUAAAACAAAAUUUGACAUCUGAGCUCAGCUGAGACUGAUCCUAGACAUUUUUCUUCAAGAACUUUUUUCAUUUUUUAUAACCCACCUUUCAUUUUUCAUGACACCUGAUUUAUGCUUAGUGACAAGGUGUUAUGUGUACGUAUAUAUGUGAGGUAUUUAUUGAUGCUGAACGCAGAGUAAGAACAGUCCAUGCCCUGGCUGAAUCAAUCAAUCACGCAGAAGAACUGAUGAGCUUAAUUUUCCCAGCAGGCUGUGAGUGAUAAACCACACACACACUCCCACAUACACUUCUCUUACACGCACACCUAUCAAGAGACCAACAGGGGACUGAAACAUGUGAGUGGAAAUGUUUUUAUUUUACUUGGGAAGGUUUGAGGAGAUGGCGGAGAUUGGCUUUGCCCACUACUGUAGAAUCCAAUGGAACAGUAGGGUGAUUUUAGGGUUUUGUGCUUACAGUAUGUCUUUAUCCAUCCUAUUGCUACAUUCCAAUCUACUGUAUACAGUAUGUAGUCAUUUUUUAACCAUCAGACCGCUUCAAUAGAAGUGAUUUCCAUAAUACCAUACCCAGAUCACUUUCUGGGGCAGCAAGAAGCUAAGGCUAGGGAGUGGCAGGUAGUCUAGUGGUUAAGAGUGUUGGAGCGGUAACCAAAAGGUUGCUGGUUCAAAUCCCUGAGCCUGCAAAGUGGAAAAAUCUGUCGUUCUGCUGUUGAGCAAGGUAAUUAACUGCUCCCCAGGUGUAGAUGAUGUCGAAUAAGGCAGCCCCCUGUACCUUAGGUUAAAUGUGGAAGACACAUUUUGGUUAAAUGCAUUCAGUUGUGCAACUGACAAGGUAUCCGCUUUAGUCUAAAGACUCUUGAGCAAUGUUUUUGCAGGGAAGGCCUGUAAAUAUGCACUGUAGUUAGUAUUACCC